rnacentral:lncRNA from 12 species
GUUGCUCAGCGCGAGAGGUUUAAACAAAAUUUAUACCCUUCUCCAUCUGGACUGUUCGUACAACCAUCUAAGCCAUGUUGAGCGUUUGGAGAAUUGUGCUCUGCUUUACACACUGUACCUCAGAGGAAACAGUCUGACUGAGGUUAAUCUUACACAACCAAAGAAACAAACAAGUUGAAAGAUGAGAUCAUGACUUAUCAUUUCUUCAGCAGUAAUCUCAAGGUCAUAUUGAAUAAUCACAAUUUUCCAUUAUUUUGAUGAUUUGUCAGUAUUCGAGAACUGUUUAUGUUCUUCUUCUAAUUAGCCGACUGAAAUCAUAGACUUUUCACCACUUUUUAUUUAUUUAUUUAGGAACAUCCCAUUUCUAUCCCAGUGUCCAGAAAAUGCGUAACUUGACAGUGCUCAUUACAUGAUACCAAAAAAAAAUGCUCAUCUGUUAGACUGCAAUCUUGGGCUGCUAUCAAUUUAAUUGAAUUAUCGCUAUCUGUUGUGCUUAAUGUUUGGAUAUUAGUCAUGUUCAUGAUGCGGCAUGAGUUUCCACCCAUUUCAGCUCAUGGGACAUUCAUGUUUGGAACAGAAAGAAUGACUUCCUGUGUGAUGACCUGGUCAAGAGGGAAUUGUUGUUGUUUUUAUUUCCGGGCCUGUGGCAUAGCUGCCUGUCCUGCAGAACCACGUUCUUCUGAGGGACUUGUACUUGGAUGACAAUCUUCUAUCUUCUGUUGAUGAUCUGGAAUCCUAUUGGCUGCCUUUGCUCCAUGUCCCAUAACAGUGUAACUUAUUUAAUUCCACUCUUGGACCUGGUGUCUCUGAGGAUGCUGGAUGCCAGUCACAACUGUCUGUCAGCACACGUAACUAUUAUUAAACUUCAGAUGACCUCAGAAGAUGACUAUAGUAUUUGCAGAACGUGUGUCUGA